rnacentral:rRNA from 1 species
ACGGAAGGCAGCAGUGGGGGAUAUUGCGCAAUGGGGGCAACCCUGACGCAGCAACGCCGCGUGAAGGAAGAAGGUUUUCGGAUCGUAAACUUCUUUAAGUGUGGAAGAAAUUGACGGUACACACAGAAUAAGCCACGGCUAACUACGUGCCAGCAGCCGCGGUAAUACGUAGGUGGCGAGCGUUGUCCGGAUUUACUGGGUGUAAAGGGCGUGUAGGCGGGACUACAAGUCAGAUGUGAAAUACCGGGGCUUAACUCCGGAGCUGCAUUUGAAACUGUAGUUCUUGAGUGCCGGAGAGGAAAGCGGAAUUCCUAGUGUAGCGGUGAAAUGCGUAGAUAUUAGGAGGAACACCAGUGGCGAAGGCGGCUUUCUGGACGGUAACUGACGCUGAGGCGCGAAAGUGUGGGGAGCGAACAGGAUUAGAUACCCUGGUA